AGAGUUUGAUCCUGGCUCAGGAUGAACGCUGGCGGCGUGCCUAAUACAUGCAAGUCGAGCGGUAAGGCCCCUUCGGGGGUACACGAGCGGCGGACGGCUGAGUAACACGUAGGAACGUACCCCAAAGUGAGGGAUAAGCACCAGAAAUGGUGUCUAAUACCGCAUGUGGCCUUCGGGCUAAAGCUUUACGCGCUUUGGGAGCGGCCUGCGCAUGAUUAGCUUGUUGGUGAGGUAAUAGCUCACCAAGGCGACGAUCAUUAGCUGGUCUGAGAGGAUGAUCAGCCAGACUGGGACUGAGACACGGCCCAGACUCCUACGGGAGGCAGCAGUAGGGAAUUUUCCACAAUGGGCGAAAGCCUGAUGGAGCAACGCCGCGUGCAGGAUGAAGGCUCUUGGGUCGUAAACUGCUUUUAUAUGUGACGAUAAUGACGGUAGCAUAUGAAUAAGGAUCGGCUAACUCCGUGCCAGCAGCCCGCGGUCAUACGGAGGAUCCAAGCGUUAUCCGGAAUUACUGGGGCGUAAAGAAUUUGCGUAGGUGGCAUUGUAAGUUUGUAGUGAAAAGCGUGGGGCUCAANCCCAUAUACAUUUAUUAAAACUGCAAAAGCUUAGAAGGAUUAGAANANGUUUAUUUGGAAAUUCCCCUGUGGUUAAGAAGUUGAAAU
rnacentral:rRNA from 1 species